rnacentral:rRNA from 1 species
UACGUAGGGGGCGAGCGUUGUUCGGAUUUACUGGGCGUAAAGAGCGCGUAGGUGGUUCGAUUAGUCGGAGGUGAAAUCCCUCGGCUCAACCGAGGACCCGCGUCCGAUACUGUCGAACUUGAGUGCAGGAGAGGAGAGCGGAAUUCCCAGUGUAGCGGUGAAAUGCGUAGAUAUUGGGAGGAACACCGGUGGCGAAGGCGGCUCUCUGGACUGUCACUGACACUGAGGCGCGAAAGCUAGGGGAGCAAAC